AGAGUUUGAUCAUGGCUCAGAUUGAACGCUGGCGGCAUGCUUUACACAUGCAAGUCGAGCGGCAGCGCGGGGCAACCCUGGCGGCGAGCGGCGAACGGGUGAGGAAUACAUCGGAACGUGCCCGAGAGUGGGGGAUAACGCCGCGAAAGCGGCGCUAAUACCGCAUAUUCUCUGAGGAGGAAAGUGGGGGACCGCAAGGCCUCACGCUCACGGAGCGGCCGAUGUCGGAUUAGCUAGUUGGUGGGGGUUAAAAGGGCUUACCAAGGCGACGAUCCGUAGCUGGUCUGAGAGGAUGAUCAGCCACACUGGGACUGAGACACGGCCCAGACUCCUACGGGAGGCAGCAGUGGGGAAUUUUGGACAAUGGGGCAACCCUGAUCCAGCCAUGCCGCGUGCGGGAAGAAGGCCUUCGGGUUGUAAACCGCUUUUAACCGGGAAGAAAAGGCAUCUCUUAAUACGGGGUGUUCUUGACGGUACCGGUGGAAUAAGCACCGGCUAACUACGUG
rnacentral:rRNA from 1 species